GGGAAUUGUUCGCAAUGGGCGCAAGCCUGACGACGCAACGCCGCGUGGAGGAUGAAGAUUUUCGGAUCGUAAACCCCUGUCGAAUGGGACGAAUAGAUUGUGGGUUAACAGCCCGUGAUCCUGACGGUACCGUUAAAGGAAACCCCGGCUAACUCCGUGCCAGCAGCCGCGGUAAUACGGGGGGGGUAAGCGUUGUUCGGAAUUACUGGGCGUAAAGGGCGCGUAGGCGGCCACCGCAAGUCGACUGUGAAAUCUCCGGGCUUAACCCGGAAAGGUCAGCCGAUACUGCGGGGCUAGAGUGCAGAAGGGGCAACUGGAAUUCUCGGUGUAGCGGUGAAAUGCGUAGAUAUCGAGAGGAACACCUGCGGCGAAGGCGGGUUGCUGGGCUGACACUGACGCUGAGGCGCGAAAGCUAGGGGAGCGAA
rnacentral:rRNA from 1 species